GAACCAACUGUAACGUAAUGACGAAUGAGGUGGUGUGCUGUUCACAUCACAGUGUUAAGUAAUAUACCACACGUGGACCGUCUUUGAUUGGAACUAACGAUUGCUUUGGAAGAUCCAUUGAAGAUCCAUUCGGCUUCCACUCGGACGUUUCUCUCCCUGUGCGGUCUCAAUCCAACCAAUUCUUGCACGACUUCACCUUUCCCGAUGACACCCGGUAACAGACCUCUGCACCUCUCACUAAUCGCCGCAGACUCGUGAGGGCAAACUUUUGUAUUCUCGCAAUCGAAAUUUCUGGAGCCACCAAGAGUGACCAUACCAUUGAAGCCUGGUAUAAUGGCAGUAGUCAAACCAAUUAUUCCACCGCCGACUACAGCUACUUUCAUCUUCGAUUUCUGUUCGCUCUGCGUUCUGCCGAAAGAUUCCAAAGACGACUGCAGCUGCAGUUAGCAGCUGCAGCAGGAGCAGGGCGGAGAGGAACGGAUGUACUCUGACACUCUGACGCGGCGGCGGGACAUAAUAAAUUCUUAUCACAGUUCUUCUUCGUUUUGCAUCGUGUGACUGUGUGGAUAAACUCGUUUCGCAAUUGAUCAGACAUGGUAGCGUUGUUAUUAAAAGAAUUACAUUUAUUUCAUAUAAAUAGAUAAUUUUCUAAACGUCCCUUCAUGGAAGUUUAACCGCGGAAGUAAAUCUUCGCCUCGAAAGGAAAAAAGUAACAGUACGUUUAAUGUAAUUACAGUCUUGUACAUACGCAUGUUAAUCAUCGAGCGGCGUAUGUAUGUACAGACGACGAACAUUGGAAGUUUUCUAAGGCUCAUCUUCUUUUUGUCUAUGUCAAUCAUUUAGAAAUUUAUCUAAAACCUACCUAUAAUUAUGUACAAAUAUUUCCAAGUGCAAAUAAAAUCGCGAACAAUUAGAGAUA